ACGCUCAUUUACGAUCAAUUAAGCCUUCUCGAUUAUGACUUGAGUGUCCAACGUUUGGACACCGAGUGGCUCCUGUCACUCUGUUUGACGCCUCCCUGUUAUAAACUUUCAAAGCCGCCGGAAACGGCGGCUCUUUUUUU
rnacentral:sRNA from 1 species